AGUGAACGCUGGCGGUAGGCCUAACACAUGCAAGUCGAACGGCCGCACAGUAAGAGCUUGCUCUUACGGGUGGCGAGUGGCGGCCGGGUGAGGAAUACAUCGGAAUCUACUUUUUCGUGGGGGAUCACGUAGGGAAACUUACGCUACUACCGCAUACGACCUACGGGUGAAAGCAGGAGAUCUUCGCACCUUGCGCGAUUGAAUGAGCCGAUGUCGGAUUAGCUAGUUGGCGGGGUAAAGGCCCACCAAGGCGACGAUCCGUAGCUGGUCUGAGAGGAUGAUCAGCCACACUGGAACUGAGACACGGUCCAGACUCCUACGGGAGGCAGCAGUGGGGAAUAUUGGACAAUGGGCGCAAGCCUGAUCCAGCCAUACCGCGUGAGUGAAGAAGGCCUUCGGGUUGUAAAGCCCUUUUGUUGGGGAAGAAAAGCAGCAGGUUAAUACCCCGCUGUUCUGACGGUACCCAAAGAAUAAGCACCGGCUAACUUCGUG
rnacentral:rRNA from 1 species